rnacentral:rRNA from 1 species
CAUACACCGGAAUAGCUCCUGGAAACGGGUGGUAAUGCCGGAUGUUCCAGUUGAUCGCAUGGUCUUCUGGGAAAGCUUUCGCGGUAUGGGAUGGGGUCGCGUCCUAUCAGCUUGACGGCGGGGUAACGGCCCACCGUGGCUUCGACGGGUAGCCGGCCUGAGAGGGCGACCGGCCACAUUGGGACUGAGAUACGGCCCAGACUCCUACGGGAGGCAGCAGUGGGGAAUAUUGCACAAUGGGCGCAAGCCUGAUGCAGCGACGCCGCGUGAGGGAUGGAGGCCUUCGGGUUGUAAACCUCUUUUAUCGGGGAGCAAGCGUGAGUGAGUUUACCCGUUGAAUAAGCACCGGCUAACUACGUGCCAGCAGCCGCGGUAAUACGUAGGGUGCAAGCGUUAUCCGGAAUUAUUGGGCGUAAAGGGCUCGUAGGCGGUUCGUCGCGUCCGGUGUGAAAGUCAUCGCUUAACGGUGGAUCCGCGCCGGGUACGGGCGGGCUUGAGUGCGGUAGGGGAGACUGGAAUUCCCGGUGUAACGGUGGAAUGUGUAGAUAUCGGGAAGAACACCAAUGGCGAAGGCAGGUCUCUGGGCCGUUACUGACGCUGAGGAGCGAAAGCGUGGGGAGCGAACAGGAUUAGAUACCCUGGUAGUCCACGCCGUAAACGGUGGAUGCUGGAUGUGGGGCCCGUUCCACGGGUUCCGUGUCGGAGCUAACGCGUUAAGCAUCCCGCCUGGGGAGUACGGCCGCAAGGCUAAAACUCAAAGAAAUUGACGGGGGCCCGCACAAGCGGCGGAGCAUGCGGAUUAAUUCGAUGCAACGCGAAGAACCUUACCUGGGCUUGACAUGUUCCCGACGAUCCCAGAG